GUCGCAGCAGUUGCGGUGGUACCGGGUCGCUGGCGAGGGAAGUAGCCUUGCAGCAGACAAAAGUCUGUUGGGUUGCGCUGCAAUUAUAUGAAAAUAACUAUACAGCAACGGCGGGGAGCACGCCAGCUAAUACCGGCACUCGUGGCCAAAAGCGGUCCGCCGAAAACGAAAGAUACGUAGGAUUCGAUUGGAGAUAUUGACCCCUUCGCGGAAAACACGGCGGCUGAAUACGUGAAGUUCUGUAGUUUUUGUAUGACUACGUAGGAAAACAACGGUUUGUUUGGUACCAUGAACACAGAAAGACCAGGUCUACAACCAUAAAGACCUGCACUGUACGAGCUCCGAUUUCAACAGCGAAAGGAACAGAGAAUCAGAAGAGGAUGCACUAUUGCGAGGACCAAUACGACAUGAAUUAUCACCGAUUGUGCACUUACGCGAUAGAUCUUCCUUGAACUCAGACCGAGUUGUUUGGUUCGUCGCUUAGCAUGAACACCGAUCGGCAAGAUUGAAGUCGACCGUGCCCUGACUAACUGACAUUAAAGAGGUGGCAAACGAAAAGCGCGUGAGGACAAAAUGUAGAUCUCGAAGCACAGCGAGUUCAAUGGCAGACAGUUCAUCCGCCACUCGCCACAGGUAUGAGAUAGGCCGGUCUGGCAUAGCUAGAAAGCAAAAAGAAAGUCCACUAACGUCACAGGCUUGUUGGCGAGCUACAGAUAACAAGCCAAAAUAGUGACUAUAACAAUAUCAAUAUGGUACCGAUAGAGUACACUUGCCAACUGAUCCAUAAAUUCAUCUACCUUGCUACUAUUAAAAUAUAUUAGUUGAACAAAAUGUAUCGGUAUAAACAAGUAAUCCUUCAAUGGCGCACGAAAACGACAUCUGCCAAUCGUUGCCAACUUGCUCGAAUCCAAGUUGUCAAAUGCCACCUGUCCGACGACAUAAAUAUCUGUCAAUAUAUCACAGUGAGUGAAUUUUAAAUGUUGGUGAGGUAAGAGGCACUAGAAAACUUUGAAUAUGGGCUCCAGAACAUGAUCUCAUUAUGCAUCAUUUCGACAAAGCGAGAUUGUCACCGUAAUUAUUUAUACCAUGACGAACGAGCGGCUACAUAAGCGUGUGCGCAGUAAUAAACUAAUAGUAACUUCAAAGUUAUCUGUCGUUCAUUUCAUAACCCAGCAAUAGAAUCUCGGCCAUUUGGAACUUGAAGCUUGUCCUCUGUUGCCCCGGCAUAACACACACAAGCACUAAAUGCAUAAGGUAAGCAUACAAUACAUCCAUUAGAAACUAGCGCUAAAUAAGCAACAGCAUUGCCGGCAAUGGUAGCAAGAUAUGAACGUGAGAAAACAUAUUCACCUUUUGCUGUCUUCAAACAAAUUUCUAUAAUUUGUUCUAAUCAAAUAAUUAGUUAUCAUAUUUAUUAAAUAUUGACAUUUACAUUUAUUUAAUUAAUAUGUGAAGUAAAUUGAACAAAAAAGAAAAUACAGCCGCACUAAGGGCGGUAAAACAAGUCUGCUAAAUAGCGAAAAUUCGACGUGUUGCAUCUACCAUGAAUUUAUAAUAAACUCAAAAGCGUAACAAAUCCAAACAUCAUAUCUUCAUUUCAUCGGUAAAACAACAUAGGGCAUUCUCUCCAUUGUAGUUUGCGAAUUUUAUGGUGAUCUUUCGUUAAUGCGUUGGUCGAAACAAUGACAAAUUCGAUUUACGUACUGUAUACGCCGUAUACGUACUGUAUAUAUAUAUAAUAAUACCACUUGUGAAUCUGAUUUUUUACUAAUCAUUUAAUAAUUUUCAGUAAAAUAUACGUGAGCUAAAAUUUGGUGUUCCUGCCAGGGCUCGAACCUGGGACCUUCCGCGUGUUAGGCGGAUGUGAUAACCGCUACACCACGGUAACAGCCGAUAUUUCUCCCCGGUGCGUCAGAUCAACCUUCGGAAAUAAAACGAUACGUCCCCUUCUAACAAUCAAGCCUAAACGGUCCUGUUGCAAUUCGAGGGCCCAAAUACACAACGAACAUCUGCUUUUUUGUUUUUGAAAGUUUUUGAAAGUGACGCAGAACUAGCUACUUUGCCACACUUAACAUUAACACUUACGGAAA